CUUAUACUCCCUUCGUUCGGAAAUACUUGUCUUAAAAAUGUAUACAAUGAAUGCAUCUUUAACUAAAAUAAGUCUAGAUACAUUCAUUUCUAGGACAAGUAUUUCCGGAGUGAUGGAGUAUUUA
rfam:Hordeum vulgare subsp. vulgare, WGS project CAJW01000000 data, contig: morex_contig_1577475